GGCGAACGCUGGCGGCAGGCUUAACACAUGCAAGUCGAGCGCCCCGCAAGGGGAGCGGCAGACGGGAGAGUAACACGUGGGAACGUACCCUUUGGUUCGGAACAACCCAGGGAAACUCGGGCUAAUACCGGAUAAGUCCGUAAGGAGAAAGAUUUAUCGCCGAAGGAUCGGCCCGCGUCUGAUUAGCUUGUUGGUGAGGUAACGGCUCACCAAGGCGACGAUCAGUAGCUGGUCUGAGAGGAUGAUCAGCCUCACUGGGACUGAGACACGGCCCAGACUCCUACGGGAGGCAGCAGUGGGGAAUAUUGGACAAUGGGGGCAACCCUGAUCCAGCCAUGCCGCGUGGGUGAUGAAGGCCUUAGGGUUGUAAAGCCCUUUCGGCGGGGAAGAUAAUGACGGUACCCGCAGAAGAAGCCCCGGCUAACUUCGUGCCAGCCGCCGCGGUAA
rnacentral:rRNA from 1 species